AUCCAUAUGACAAAUCCCAAAUAGGAUGAAAUGUACUUCCUGGAU
rnacentral:hammerhead_ribozyme from 1 species